rnacentral:rRNA from 1 species
ACUCAAAUGAAUAGACGGGGGCCCGCACAAGCGGUGGAGCAUGUGGUUUAAUUCGAUGCUACGCGAAGAACCUUACCUACCCUUGAAUCCACGAAAGGUUGUAGAAAUACGACUGUGCCUUCGGGAAUCGUGAGACAGGUGCUGCAUGGCUGUCGUCAGCUCGUGUCGUGAGAUGUUGGGUUAAGUCCCUUAACGAGCGCAACCCUUGUCCUUAGUUACUAACGAGUUAUGUCGAGGACUCUAAGGAGACUGCCGGUGAUAAAUCGGAGGAAGGUGGGGACGAUGUCAAGUCAUCAUGGCCCUUACGGGUAGGGCUACACACGUGCUACAAUGGUUGGUACAAAAGGCAGCGAAAUCGCGAGAUGGAGCAAAUCCCAAAAAACCAAUCGUAGUCCGGAUUGGAGUCUGCAACUCGACUCCAUGAAGCUGGAAUCGCUAGUAAUCGUGGAUCAGAACGCCACGGUGAAUACGUUCUCGGGCCUUGUACACACCGCCCGU